GAUGAACGCUGGCGGCGUGCCUAAUACAUGCAAGUCGAGCGAAUGAUGAGGAGCUUGCUCCUCUGAUUUAGCGGCGGACGGGUGAGUAACACGUGGGCAACCUGCCCUGUAGACUGGGAUAACUUCGGGAAACCGGAGCUAAUACCGGAUAAUUCUUUUAGCCUCAUGGCUUUAAGCUAAAAGGCGCUUCGGCGUCACUACAGGAUGGGCCUGCGGUGCAUUAGUUAGUUGGUGGGGUAACGGCCUACCAAGACGAUGAUGCAUAGCCGACCUGAGAGGGUGAUCGGCCACAUUGGGACUGAAACACGGCCCAAACUCCUACGGGAGGCAGCAGUAGGGAAUCUUCCGCAAUGGGCGAAAGCCUGACGGAGCAAUGCCGCGUGAGUGAAGAAGGCCUUCGGGUCGUAAAACUCUGUUAUAAGAGAAGAACAAAUUGUAGAGUAACUGCUACAGUCUUGACGGUAUCUUAUCAGAAAGCCACGGCUAACUACGUGCCAGCAGCCGCCGUAA
rnacentral:rRNA from 1 species